rnacentral:lncRNA from 1 species
UGAAACUAUAAUGCUAAGAACUCUUACGAGCAAUCCAGCUGCUGCAACCCCAGCCGGUUCCGAAGUGACACCCUCCGGCUCCCCGUCACCCCACUCCACCCCCUCUUUGACCUUUCUCCUCCCUAAGAAUGGGGACUCCAAUAAAGCAGAGCUGCCCUCCACUCGCACUCCCCUAGUCUCUGGCAUUCAGCAGCAGAAAUCUUUCCCAUAAAGGAAAGUCCUCAAACGAAAGACCAAAAAAUUCACAGGAACUCAGCCUCCCGGUUUUAUUUGUUUGUUUGUUUUGUUUUGAAAACGCUUCUUCAAUGCCUCAAGGGCUGGUC